GUAGACCCGUAUGAAAGGCAUAAUGAGGGCUUAACUGUCUCUUUUAGUAAAUCAAUUAAACUGAUCUUCUAGUCAAAAAGCUAGAAUAGUAACAUAAGACCAGAAGACCCUGUGAAGCUUUAACUAAACUAUUAAACCAUAUAAUAAUUACUUUCGGUUGGGGCGACCUUGGAAAAAAAAAGAACUUCCAAAAACCUAUUACACAAUAAUACCCUUUUGGCCAACAAGCCUAUAUAUAGACCCAGCAAAGCUGAUAAUUGAACCAAGUUACUCCAGGGAUAACAGCGCUAUCCUCUUCAAGAGCCCAUAUCAAAAAGAGGGUUUACGACCUCGAUGUUGGAUCAGGACAUCCCAAUGGUGCAGCCGCUAUUGAUGGU
rnacentral:rRNA from 1 species